rfam:Rahnella aquatilis CIP 78.65 = ATCC 33071, complete genome.
AGUUGCUCAUUCACCUGAUUAUGAUUGGCUCACGCGAAAGCGUUGAUAUGCUCAUAAUGUCCGAAUGACGCCAAAGAAACGGUGCCUAUCGUUCACCCGACCGAUAAUCGUUGCGUAAGCACGUUAUCAAGCAUCGAACGACACGUUGAGUGAGGCACCACCUC